GACGAACGCUGGCGGCGUGCCUAACACAUGCAAGUCGAGCGGUAAGGCCCUUCGGGGUACACGAGCGGCGAACGGGUGAGUAACACGUGGGUAACCUGCCCUGCACUCUGGGAUAACCCCGGGAAACCGGGGCUAAUACCGGAUAGGACUUCCUGCCGCAUGGUGGGGGGUGGAAAGCUCCGGCGGUGCGGGAUGGGCCCGCGGCCUAUCAGCUAGUUGGUGGGGUGAUGGCCUACCAAGGCGAUGACGGGUAGCCGGCCUGAGAGGGCGACCGGCCACACUGGGACUGAGACACGGCCCAGACUCCUACGGGAGGCAGCAGUGGGGAAUCUUGCGCAAUGGGCGAAAGCCUGACGCAGCGACGCCGCGUGAGGGAUGAAGGCCUUCGGGUUGUAAACCUCUUUCAGCAGGGACGAAGCGAGAGUGACGGUACCUGCAGAAGAAGCACCGGCUAACUAC
rnacentral:rRNA from 1 species